GAAACUGCGAAUGGCUCAUUAAAUCAGUUAUAUUUUUAUUUGAUGGUACCUUACUACAUGGAUUACUGUGGUAAUUCUAGAGCUAAUACAUGCACAAAAGCCCUCUCACGAGGGUGUAUUUAUUAGAUAAAAGACCGUUGGGCUUCGGCCCUCUUGGUGAAUCAUGAUAACUGCUCGAAUCGCAUGGCCUCGCGCCGGCGAUGCCUCAUUCAAAUACCUGCCCUAUCAACUUUCGAUGGUAGGAUAGUGGCCUACCAUGGUUGCGACGGGUAACGGGGAAUUAGGGUUCGAUUCCGGAGAGAGAGCCUGAGAAACGGCUCUCAUGACUAAGGUCAGCAGCAGGCGCGCAAAUUAUCCACUCGCAACUCGCGGAGAUAGUGACAAUAAAUAACAAUAGAGGGCUCUUUUGGGUCUUCUAAUUGGAAUGAGUACAAUCUAAAUCCCUUAACGAGGAUCAAUUGGAGGGCAAGUCUGGUGCCAGCAGCCGCGGUAAUUCCAGCUCCAAUAGCGUAUAUUAAAUUUGCUGUGGUUAAAAAGCUCGUAGUCGAACUUCGGCUGCUCCAGGCCGGUCCGCCUAUUUUGGGUGUGUACUGGACCCUGGGGCGGCUUCACUUCCUGGUGAACACGUCUGCCGUUUAUUCGGUGGGCGUGGGAACCCGGACUUUUACUUUGAAUAAAUCAGAGUGUUCAAAGCAGGCAUGUUUGCCCGAAUGUUUCAGCAUGGAAUAAUAGAACAAGACGCGUGUCUCUAUUGGUCUUUUUAGAGGCACCGUAAUGAUGAAUAGGGGCGGUCGGGGGCAUUCGUAUUCAAUUGCUAGAGGUGAAAUUCUUGGAUUUAUUGAAGACGAACUACUGCGAAAGCAUUUGCCAAGGACGCUUUCAUUGAUCAAGAACGAAGGUCGGGGGAUCGAAAACGAUUAGAUACCGUUGUAGUCUCGACAGUAAACGAUGUGGAUCGGGGAUUGGUGAGGGUUUCAUUUUAUGACCUCAUCAGCACCCAAAGAGAAAUCUUGAAUAACACUCCAGGGGGAGUAUGGUCGCAAGGCUGAAACUUAAAGGAAUUGACGGAAGGGCACCACCAGGGGUGGGACUGCGGCUUAAUUUGACUCAACACGGGGAAACUCACCAGGUCCAGACACAAUGAGGAUUGACAGAUUGAUAGCUCUUUCUUGAUCUUGUGGUUGGUGGUGCAUGGCCGUUCUUAGUUGGUGGAGUGAUUUGUCUGGUUAAUUCCGAUAACGAACGAGACCUUAACCUGCUAAAUAGCCCGGCCGGCUUUGGCUUUAUCGCUGGCUUCUUAGAGGGACUAUCGACGUUUAGUCGAUGGAAGUUUGAGGCAAUAACAGGUCUGUGAUGCCC
rnacentral:rRNA from 1 species